rnacentral:lncRNA from 1 species
GACUCCACUAACUUGCCUCGCCAUCAACCCAUCUGCGCCCACAGAAUCCUCCGCAUAAAAGAAAGGAGUAAAAUAGUGUUAAAUAAAAAGAAUAAAAUAAUUGCUAACUCAGAACAGUAAUUAAAUAUGUAUAAAUGAAACAGUAAAUAAUGUAAGAUAUGACAAGUCUGAUCGAAGUGAGGCACAUAGUUCAACACUAUCCUAAGAAUGUAUUGCCUCCUAUCAUACAGGAUUUUCUGGUCAGAUACAUUCUCAAGGUAUAACCCUCGUCUACUUGUUCGAAUCUUCGAUAAGUAUGAAUCUCAGGGAUACUAAUUUCAAGAUUUUGUUAUGCAAACAAUGCCCCAAGAAAAAGAGAUGAAAAGAUUGUAUAGCAGGGAAGGGCUAUCAGAUUCAGGA